ACGAACGCUGGCGGCGUGCUUAACCCCUGCAAGUCGAACGGAAAGGCCCUGCUUUUGUGGGGUGCUCGAGUGGCGAACGGGUGAGUAACACGUGAGUAACCUGCCCUUGCCUUUGGGUUAACUUCAGGAAACUGGGGCUAAUACCGGAUAGGAGCUCCUGCUGCAUGGUGGGGGUUGGAAAGUUUCGGCGGUUGGGGAUGGACUCGCGGCUUAUCAGCUUGUUGGUGGGGUAGUGGCUUACCCAGGCUUUGACGGGUAGCCGGCCUGAGAGGGUGACCGGCCACAUUGGGACUGAGAUACGGCCCAGACGCCUACGGGAGGCAGCAGUGGGGAAUAUUGCACAAUGGGCGGAAGCCUGAUGCAGCAACGCCGCGUGCGGGAUGACGGCCUUCGGGUUGUAAACCGCUUUCGCCUGUGACGAAGCGUGAGUGACGGUAAUGGGUAAAGAAGCACCGGCUAACUACGUG
rnacentral:rRNA from 1 species